rnacentral:tRNA from 1 species
AAGGGAGACCUAAUUCAGGUAGGAGACGAAAAAAAAGUAGUCGCUACCAAGAAUCAAUCCCAAAAGGUCGGAGCGAGGCGAAGUUGGCUUUCAAACUAGGUUCUGGGUUCACACAAGACCUGAAUCAGGAACAAGGGCUAUUAGCUCAGGUGGUCAGAGCGCACCCCUGAUAAGGGUGAGGUCCCUGGUUCGAGUCCAGGAUGGCCCACCUGUACAGGUGGCAAAAAGAAAGAAAAGAAGCGAGGAAUCAGCACCUUAUCUUACUGACAUAGUAAGAGAGAAUGCUGGCUCUGAGUAAAGAGUCCAGAGGAACCUUGAAAACUGCAUAGAGCUAGGUGAAAAAGCCAAAAAAGAAGACCGCAA